UCAAAGUGAAGAAAUUCAACCA
rnacentral:snRNA from 1 species